GCCUCCGUAGAUUAGCGGCAAGAUCGCCUCUAUCUUGUGGCGGGUGUGUAUCAAGGAUUCUUGAGGAGAUGUGGGUUCGAAUCCCACCGGAGGCU